GACGAACGCUGGCGGCGUGCUUAACACAUGCAAGUCGAACGGUAAGGCCCUUCGGGGUACACGAGUGGCGAACGGGUGAGUAACACGUGGGUGAUCUGCCCUGCACUUCGGGAUAAGCCUGGGAAACCGGGUCUAAUACCGGAUAGGACCACUGCCUGCAUGGGUGGUGGUGGAAAGCUUUUGCGGUGUGGGAUGGGCCCGCGGCCUAUCAGCUUGUUGGUGGGGUGAUGGCCUACCAAGGCGACGACGGGUAGCCGGCCUGAGAGGGUGACCGGCCACAAUGGGACUGAGAGACGGCCCAGACUCCUACGGGAGGCAGCAGUGGGGAAUAUUGCACAAUGGGCGCAAGCCUGAUGCAGCGACGCCGCGUGAGGGAUGACGGCCUUCGGGUUGUAAACCUCUUUCAGCACCGACGAAGCGCAAGUGACGGUAGGUGCAGAAGAAGGACCGGCCAACUACGUGCCAGCAGCCGCAGUAA
rnacentral:rRNA from 1 species